rnacentral:pre_miRNA from 1 species
AAAAUGUGCCUAUAAUCCCUGUCUUUUCUAAAAUUUGGAAUUUAACAUCUUUACUUCUCAGAUUUUAAAAUUCAAAUUUAACAAUUGUUAAUUUUUUUUUUUUAACUACUCACUUGGUAGCCAUGUGAAACUGAAUUUUGAAAUCUGAACCUAAAAAUACAAGCACAAGGACUAAAUUUCUAAUUUUUGAAAAGUACAGGGACUAUAGGCAUGUUU